rnacentral:rRNA from 1 species
GAGGGAGCAAGAGGAGGUCGCGGCGAUGGGGCACGGGCUAGGGGUGCGCGUCGGAGCUGGAGGGAGCGAUGGCACCGGCGAGGGGAGCUAGGGGUAGAGGGACGCCGGAGGAGGAGCGGGAAGGAAGAGGGUGCGGCGGUGACCUCCGGUUGAGGCCGCGGGGACGGAGCAGAGGGUAGGAGAGGCGACGCUACGGAAGGGAGGAGGCAGCGGACGCCGGCACGGUCCUGGAGGCAGCAACGGGGACGUCGGAAGGGAGGAGGCGCAGCAGCGGAGGGGUACCGCGGCGCGGGCCGGAGGGCGCAGGCGGUAGCCGAGGAGACGAAGUGGGCAGGAAACGAGGCGGAGGUAGCGGCCGCUGGUGCUGGUCGGUGGCGGGGGGAACCUCGAGGGUACCGGCGGCGCGGGACAAGGCCCAGUGGAGGUGGACCUAGGCGGGGUUGGUGGUCCCUCGUCUCGGGGGCGCGCGACGAAGAAGCGGAGCGGAGGGAGGCGAGGUGGUGCGGCCGGAAGCCUCGGCAACGACCGCCGGCGUAGCAGCGGGCAGGUACCAGCGGUCGCGGCACACGAGGCGGCAGGGGCGCGGGACGACGGAGGAUCCCACGGCGUGCCAGCGGCAAGUAGAAGUUGGCACCCUGGCGUCAGGAGGAGGUUGUAGCAGGUCUAGGCCUACCGGAGGCGGCGGGAACGGCAAGGACCGGCCUUGACUGAGGCCACCGGGCAGGGGCAGCCUCAACUGGAGGUGGUGUCCGGUCGGGUCGCGGCGUAGAAGGAGUCGUACAACAAGGUAGCGGAGGAACGACGACGGUUUGCUCCGGGACCACAAGGAAGCAAAACCUGGCUGUUCUGGGCCUGAGGCUUGCGGUUCAUGGUGCUGUAGGUACAAGCAGAUGCCUUGCACAUGUAGAUGUGGCGGUUCUGGCCUGGCUGUUCAUGUGGUUGCAGCGCACAUGGUGAUGGCAGCUGGACUUGUAGAUGCUUUUGCACAUGUUGAUGGCAGCGGUGCACUUGUUGCUGAAGGUGAUGCUGCACUUGUUGAUGAAGGGUGCUGCUGGGCGCUCAUGGUGAUGAAGGAAGCUGCUUGCGCAAGGCGGGAUUUGCGUGCGAAGCUUCGAAGCCAAAGCAAGGCCUCAACACUCCUAAGCAAGCUGAUGCAGGCAAACAGAAGAAGUACCUGAGCAAGAAGAAGGAACGCCCUAAAGUCCGUUCUACUAGUAUGGGAGCUUUAGUGAUGAUAGUUACGAUACUACGGAUGGUAAACGAACAGUCGGAGGGUUUAACGGUACAGUUUGGAGAUUGGGUGGUACAGGAUCGUUUGGCACUAACCGAUACAAUGGCGAAACGAGUCGGGGAGAAUAUCGCAACAAUCAACGUCCACUUCUAACUUCAAACAAGGAACAACCUUGUACCUCUACAACAAGGGACAACCUUGUACAAAUGAACAAC